rnacentral:lncRNA from 1 species
GGGCUCUUCAGCUCCCUCUUCUCUCUCUUCUCAACUGUUCAUCUUCUUCAAUCAAAGGAUGUAAAAUGUUAACAUGGUAUUAGAGCGGGUAUAUUCCGAUUCUCCUCGUCAUCAGCGUUCGAUCGAUGUUACCCUCACCAAAUUCCAUCCAUGUUCCUACUAUUUUUCAGAAUCUAGGGUUUCUUAUCCGGUUAGUUUUCC